rnacentral:lncRNA from 10 species
ACUGCACUGCAGCCUGGGCAACAGAGUGAGACUGAAAAAAAAAAAACGCCGGGCAUGAUGGCUCACACCUGUAAUCUCAGUACUUUAGAAGGCUGAAGCGGGCAGAUCACCUGAGGUCAGGAGUUCAAGAACAGCCUGGCCAACAUAGUGAAACCUUGUCUCUACUAAAAAUACAAAAAAUUAACCAGGCGUGAUGGUGGCGCCUGUAGUCCCAGCUACUUGGGAGGCUGAGGCAGGAGAAUCGCUUGAACUCAGGAGGCAGAGGUUGCAGUGAGCCGAGAUCGUGCCACUGCACUCCAGCCUGGGCAACAGAGCGAGACUCCAACUCAAAAAAAAAAAAAAAAGUGUCCUAGCAAUGUAAUUAUAUCAAAGAAUUUAGAUGAACGGUAACUCCAAAACUGUAAGUACUUCCCGUGAUAGAGCCAUGAGGCAAUAGAAAGGAUGUUUCAAACUUAUUAGCAUCUUUAAAGGAGCUGCCAAAUUCAUGUGCUUCUUUCUGGAGAGGGGUUAAAUUGAGAAGUGUAUUGUAUUUCAGUUUGGUUCAUUUAACAUCUGCCAAUGCCAGCAUGUUGUCUGGUUAGGGAAAUGUUAUAUAUAAGUAAUUGCUAUAGCAUGUGGUUGAGACCGUGUGUCUUCCUGCGGUUUAGGCUUCUCACUGGCAUCCUAAAACAAUUCCAAUCUCCAACCACGGGACUUUGUCUGCUUUGAGCAAGGCAGUAGCCUCAGCACUUAGCGUGGCUCCCGGCACUCAAUAAAUAUGUAUCGAGUGGGUGAAUAUUUAGUGUACUUGUCAUUUGCCUGAAUGACAUCCGAUCCCCUCCUUACCCUUCCGCCUGCUCUGCUCCGUUUCCCAAGGUGAUGAACACGCAGACUGAGCUUUCCAGCCUUCCUGCUGGGCUCAGUCAAUGGAAGGCACUGGUGGGAGGCUGGAAGGCAGGAGGGGAAGCUGGGGUAUUUCUGCCCUCUCUUUGUGUUGGGCAUCAUCUCCAGUAGCAUCUUUGGCUGAAAUGGCUGCACAGGCUUCAUCCAGGUGACUUUUUUGGGGGAGGGGUUGUUUUUGAGACAGGGUCUCGCUCUGUCACCCCAGCUGGAGUGCAGGGGCACAAUCACAGCUCACUACAGCCUUCAAUUCCUGGGCUCAAGUCACCCUCCCACCUCAGCCUCCUGAGUAGCUGGGACUACAGGCGCAUGCCACCAUGCCCAGCUAAUUUUUGUAUCUUUUGUAGAGACACAGUUUCACCAUGUUGCUCCAGGCUGGUCUCAAACUCCUGGGCUCAAGAGAUCCACUCACCUCAGCCUCCCAAAGUGCUGGAAUUACAUACAUGAGCCACUGUGCCCAGCCACACGUGGUUUUUAAGAGAUUUCUGUAGGAGUUGGGAUCUUCCACAAUUGUGAGAUCUGGUUAGACAGUCUCCAUAACGCUGGGUCUCUGUGUCUGAUGCUGGAGCCUGAAGUCUGCAGGGCAGGCAGCUGAGAACAGAAGAUGGAUGUAAAGUAGGGAAGAGCAAGAACGAUCUGGAACCCAUGAGCAAGAGCUGAAAUCUACAAGCACAGACUGAAACCUAGGUCAGUCCUCAUUGUCCCCAACUUUGAUGGCAUGGGUGUCCUGCAGGAAACACUGGUGCCCUUAGGCAGGGAGCUGGCUCAGGGGUCACAGCAGCCAAACAAGGAUCCAGGGGCAGGUGGACCCACCGCAGGCAGGUAAAGGACAAUGUUCAGGAGAUGCAGAAGUGGCUGGUGACUCUGCCCCGGCCUUCCAGGCAUCAGUAAGAGUAUGGCUGCUGCUCUACUUCCACACACCAAAUCUCAUGCCACAGAAAAUUGCCCUUUAUGGCCCACCCAACCAGAAAAACAUAGAAAAAGGAAUUCUGGGAAAUGCAAUUCAACUAGCCAAGCUAACACAUUACCAAGCCAGUGACCAUGGUUUCUUGGGAUAGCUUGGGGGUGACGUAUCAGUGUUCUACCAUGAGCAAACCUACCUGCAAGGGCUGAGAGCUGAAGGAAGCUGACAAACCUGGUUUCUCAGA